CCCGUUGCCCGGUCAUCGAAGUUUCCGAAUUGCUCAGCUGUGUCGGCUGUGCGUGCCAGUGUCUUGUGUGUGCGCGACUGUGAUCUCAACGCUGGACGUGAACGGCAUUUAGCGACGGCAGUGCAACAUCCCGUACUGUGAGCAUGUUCGUGUUGGUUUCAUGAUGGUCUGGAGACUCAAGCGUGCUUGCACCUCCGUGUAUGCGUGUUCGGCCAGCACCUGGUUAGGCACAGUCGGAAAUGCGAACGAUGGUGCUCAAGAUGGCACAUGCAACGCUAUGCAGCUGUGGACACCAGCAGCUUGAUAAGAACUCUCGAAGCUCAUCUGGAUGCUUCACAGAACCUGGGAAGACUGAACACUUUUGGCAAAGCAGCAACAGUUCUGGCCUACCUGUUUGUCUACAAGACGGUCUCUUCCGUGAACACUCCUGUGCCUUACAGUAUACUAUACUGAUGAUCUUGUACAUCUCUCAGUAUUUAGGAUUGUCACCACUUGGACUGCUGCACUGUGUUAUGCACGGUGCUGAGUCCAAACUUUCCAAUAACAGUGUGCAUUUGAAAAUUUUACAUGGCUUGAAAAGAUGCUGAAUGUUAACUCAUUUAAUUUACUAAGCAUGGUUCUUGACUGUUUUACAGCCAUUAUUUAUUCCCUGUUCAAUUUUUAUUCAACCUCAUGGCAUGUCCAGUCCUUGGUUCUAAUGUGCCAAGCCACCACCAGUAUUGAUGGGCAAUUUUUAAUUCAAAGCAUGUUAUUGCCUAACUCCGAGGUAACU